rnacentral:rRNA from 1 species
AUUGAACGCUGGCGGCAUGCUUUACACAUGCAAGUCGAACGGCAGCACGGGUGCUUGCACCUGGUGGCGAGUGGCGAACGGGUGAGUAAUGCAUCGGAACGUGCCCAUGAGUGGGGGAUAGCCCGGCGGAAGCCGGAUUAAUACCGCAUACGCCCUUAGGGGGAAAGCGGGGGAUCUUCGGACCUCGCGCUAUUGGAGCGGCCGAUGUCGGAUUAGCUAGUAGGUGAGGUAAAGGCUCACCUAGGCGACGAUCCGUAGCUGGUCUGAGAGGAUGAUCAGCCACACUGGGACUGAGACACGGCCCAGACUCCUACGGGAGGCAGCAGUGGGGAAUUUUGGACAAUGGGCGCAAGCCUGAUCCAGCCAUGCCGCGUGAGUGAAGAAGGCC